rnacentral:rRNA from 1 species
AAGCGCUUGCAAUCAGACUUGCACGCAGUUGAUCAUCCGGUGUUCUCACCGGUGCACUCUGCUGCGUUCAGGCCAGCAUCGGUUCUGGUGGUUGGAUAAAGGCCUUGGGAAUGUAGCUCCUUUCGGGGAGUGUUAUAGCCCUCGGUGCAAUGCAGCCUACCGGGACCGAGGACCGCGCUUCGGCUAGGAUGCUGGCGUAAUGGUUGUAAGCG